CUCUGUGACUCCUACGGGAGGCAGCAGUGGGAAUAUUGCACAAUGGGGGAAACCCUGAUGCAGACCAUGCCGCGUGUGUGAAGAAGGCCUUCGGGUGUAAAGCACUUUCAGUAGGGAGGAAGGGUAGUGUAGUUAACACCUGCAUUAUUUGACGUUACCUACAGAAGAAGCACCGGCUAACUCCGUGCCAGCAGCCGCGGUAAUACGGAGGGUGCGAGCGUUAAUCGGAAUUACUGGGCGUAAAGCGCAUGCAGGCGGCCUGUUAAGUCAGAUGUGAAAGCCCGGGGCUUAACCUCGGAAUUGCAUUUGAAACUGGCAGGCUAGAGUCUUGUAGAGGGGGUAGAAUUUCAGGUGUAGCGGUGAAAAUGCGUAGAGAUCUGAAGGAAUACCAGUGGCGAAGGCGGCCCCCUGGACAAAGACUGACGCUCAGAUGCGAAAGCGUGGGGAGCAAACAGGAUUAGAUACCCUGGUAG
rnacentral:rRNA from 1 species